UUUCACUUCUAUGUUCAGAUGAAAAAGGCUGUUUUCCUGGAAACAUCAAAGCAAGGGCAAGAAGUAUGUAAUUAGCACUGAAGAGUUUCGAAGCCAAAGAAGAGAUGAAAGAGAAGUGAAAAACAAAAACAUCUAAAUCUGAAAAGAAGUCCAGAAAACCUCUGGAGAAGUGCCAAAAGUACUCUGUCUUGUUUAUGGUGGUCAUUAUGCAGGACUUUGUUGUGUUAUUCUGAGCAAUUGAUUUACUCUGCUUCAAAGGAAUAAGGUGCAUCCUGCUCAACUGGAAGCAUUCAAGACCUCAAUAAAACGCUCACAAACAGAAUGCGUCACAAUUCAGGCUGUUAAAUAAAUAAAUUUGUGAUGAUGUGGAGAGACGUCUGAAGUUUUUUGAGGGCAUUUGGAGAAGUGGAAAACUGUCUCCUUUGGUCAAACACAGGAUGCAUCGAUUGUCCCAAAACUGCUGUGGUCUUGAUCAAAGUUGACAGAAGAAGGAAAAACAAGCUAGAUGUCCUUUGUUUCAGACGUGAAAAGAAAAAACUGGGACGCCGCUGAUGAGAUCCACCGAGGCCUGAUGGUGGAUCAUGUUGCUGAAGUCAGUCAGUGGAUGGUGGGAGUCA